rnacentral:sRNA from 1 species
UAGCUCAGUUGGUAGAGCAGUUGACUUUUAAUCAAUUGGUCGCAGGUUCGAAUCCUGCACGACCCACCAAUUCAUCGGUGGACCAUGAUAGUGAGACGUGAAGGAUAACGUUGCGACAGCAACGGCCCGUAGGGCGAGGCAAAGCCGAGUCAUCCUGCACGACCCACCA